CUUCAUAUCUCCAUGGUAAAAGCCCCUUAAUUCUCCGCUCCAUAAGUUAUGUCGUACAGACAGGGACAGAGUAUGAAAAAUCCGUAAUACUAUUAUCUCUCGAAAACAGUACUGACUAUCGUAGGGAUAGAAAGAAGGCCAUAGAGCUCUCUCAUUUCUAUCUCUAUGGUCACGGUUGUCUUCAAGCAGUUGUAAAAGAGGGCGCAUGCGUUCUAACGUCUCACUGCACGCGCUAAACGGGCGAAUUUGUAAAAAGCGAUGGCCAUUGGGCAGAAAGGGAAGGCGGAGAAGAGUUCCCGGCAUGCUCCGCGGCUACUGACUAUUUAACCCUUCAGCGGGCGGGCACUGAUUCUCUAUCUAAGGCAGUCCUGCGGCAAGACCUGAAUUUGCAAGAUCAUGUGCGACUGUACUUUCCAGCUGCAAGAGUCAUCAGCUAUGUGUGUCUACCACGUGAUGUAUAUUCCUGAACAAGGAGCAGCUGUGUGGAAAACCCUUCAGAGGUAUGUUUGAGGACCAGUGCAUCUGAAUGAUGGGGAGGUACAAGGACCCUGGCCAAAAAAAGUGAGUAUUGGAGGAUCUGCUGUUUCUUUCAGACAGCAGAAUGGAGCAGUUAAUUUAAAAGACGGUGCUUCCAACAGAAUGCAGGACAUACUCCAGAGAGCUAGCCCUUGUGGACUUGACUGCUUGUCCUCCUGUCUCCAAAGGAUGAAAAAAUGGUGAACCUGAAUUGGGGGACCUCCCUCCCUUCCUGGUGGAGAUUUAGCAGAUCCCUGAAGCCAACUACAGUCCUAAGGUAGCUGCUAGACCACUGGUCCACCCAUCUCUGCAUUGUCUACAUGAACUGGCAGCAGAUGCAAAGAGGAAGAGCUCAAAUUGGACAAACUGGGGCUCCUACAGGUCUCUCCAGUAACUGGUAGCUUCCUUAGUUGUGAUAUCACUGCAGCAUUGAUUGCUUCCAGCCCACUUCACCCAGCCUUGCUUCUGCAUCCAACAGGCAUGCACAAUUGCUGGAGACUGUUCUCAAGAUGAUCAGCAAGCUGUCAGUGCUCUCGAUUGAUCCCACCCCACCCAAGUGCUAAAGCAAUCAAUCCAGUGUUAUUGUUUGUAGCCAAUGGCCAUUAAAAUACAAUGUUGAACACAUUGCACAGCUGCAAAACGACCAAGUUUCCUGAAAAACAUGUAGCUUAUUACUUUAUGCUUUUAUUUGUAAACUGCUUUGCUUUUUAGGCAAAAACUAAAUUUCAUAGAAAUGCAUUGUGGGCAGUACUCAAUAAAUUACAUAUGUGUGA